CCUCAUCUACUGUCUCCUGAAUAUGCAUCAAACUUUGUAUAAAGGUGCAUCAUGGAAAGGUGGUGUGUCACAUUCUAAAAAGAGGUCACUGUGACCUCAAUUUGACCUUUCACCUUGACCUCAAGUACUGAAAUAUUGGUUUCUAGAGCAAAUCUCGGCGCUGUUUUACAAAUGGGCAUCACACUGUAUAUAGCUACAUUAUAGAUGGUGGCUCGGAAUCUUGAAACGAGAUCACUCUGACUUGAGUUUGACCUUCACCUUGACCUCAAGGACCGAAAUGAUAAUGGUUUCUAGAGUAUAUCUCAGCUACUAUUCAGUAAUGGGCUUCAAACUUUGUAGACAUGUUGGGAGCAGGGGUGUAUCUGUGAAGUCUAUGCAUCAGGUAAAAUUUAGUUUUUAGUACAUACUGGUUAUGUACUGUGUUCAUAGAAUUUUAAAAAUCUUGCCAAAAGUUUGACCUGAAUUUUAUUAAUUUGUGAUGCAGGCAGCCAACUACCUAGAUAUCAAGGGUUUAUUGGAUGUAACAUGCAAGACUGUGGCCAACAUGAUCAAAGGCAAAUCACCUGAGGAAAUCAGAAAAACUUUUAAUAUCAAGAACGAUUUUACACCAGCAGAGGAAGAACAGGUACGAAAGGAAAAUGAAUGGUGUGAGGAAAAAUAAAAGGUGUGGAAAGUGAGAUUCUGUCCCGUCUCCUUGUGUAUUAAAAAGCGACUAAGAUAUUAUAUAGACUGUAGGCUUUCACCUCUUGAACAUUAAUGAUAUAUCUUAUUCACAGAAUUAUCAUCCAAAGCCUAUCUCAGGUUGCCUUCCCCGGUCUACCUGAGAGGAGGAACAAAGCUGAAGUUGAGUAGGUGAUAAGAUAUUGUGGUUACCCAAAAUGAUGUUUAUUCCUCGUUUGUGUGGCUACAAUUACCUUAACUAGGAGGACGGUUCCUCAAGAAUGACUACUAAACAUUAAAUGGAAAGCUUAUUACAAAACAGGCCAGAAUCUGUACGUUGCAAUUGUUAAGGCUACACAUGUGUUUCUGAACUCGUCAAAUCCCAUCUUAUUUAAUGCGCAAAAGUGAUGUUAUCCGACUCAAAAAGGCAAAUAUGUGAAGUAAAUUAAAUAUUUGAUGGAAGCUUAUUGCAUUUUGAAACGUUUCGUUAAGCAAACUUUAGGCAGUCAGUGUGGAGUGUGUCUGUUUACAAGGACGCCUAAUUGAAAUGAUUAAAAUUGAGUAUAAAAUCCCUUUCGAUACUGUGAUUCUGUAUAAAGUUUUAAUUUAUUUGAAUUGUAACAUGGUUUUUUUUUUGUACUUGAAAUAUGGUUGUUUGUUUUCUUAUUUUAAUUUUAGCUUGUAGAAAUAAAUAACUAAAGUUUGAAACUUUCAUUAUAUUAGCAGCAGACAUUUAGCAAAAAUAUGUGCAAGUAGAUAGUUUGAAUAAUUAUUUAACUCAAUUCAGACAAUUGUAUUACAUACAGUACUAGAUUUGUUGUGUACUUGGCUUAUUUCUUUUCCAAUCUACUUUACAAGGACACAGAAGAUUGAUAGUGCUAAAGAUCACGAAAUCACAAUUUGCAAUCUAUACACCUUUCUUCAAGUAGAAAGAACGGUUAAAUUGGCGUUAAAAAUCCAGAUUGAAAACUCUGUGAUCAGUAACAUUCAAAACUGCUUAUGUUUUUUUGUUUCCCCAUCAUUCUCUCUCCUCCUCUUUUGUUGACGGACACUCUUUGAGACCUAUUUAAGAUAUAAUCUUGGGACAUAUAUUACAGUAAGUACAAUCAAAAAAUUACUUACCAGCAUUUACAAUGUUGUGAUAUGGCACAGAGCUGUUGAUGAAACUGUGAAAAUAAUAUGUAAAGGUGCCAUAUGUAUUCACUAUACACAAAGUAUCUUUUACAGUUUGAUUUUAGAGACAUUUUAAGGUAUGGCAUGUUCACAGCAAAUUAUACUUGUGGAAAAAUAAUUGCUUAUGAGUGACACGGCUUGAUUUUAAACAGUUUACUAAAUAUGAAGUUAACCUAUUCACCAAUCUUCCUGGUUGAUUGUUGUUGUGCUAGAAAGAUUUUCUCGUUUGAUGUAUAAUGUAUGAAAACAUUCUGCCCAGUUAUUCUCUUAUAUAAUUGUGUUUAGUGUUUGUAUAAAUAUUCAUGCAUCCAUAUUAAAAAUCCAUGUCAACAUUUUC